CAUGUGCUAUUUUGUUUUUAUUGAAAGCCAACUUGCUUUACUUGUAAAAAAAUACAAAAUACAAAUUGCAAAUCAACAGAAACAAAAUAUCACAUAACAGAAAUUAAACACAAAUGGGGAUGUCUGCAGCUUUAAAUACAGCUCCACAGAUGAUACACACUCCACACAGAACGCAAAGGGUCGUAUACAACUUGCAUGCGUAUGCUGCAUUGUCUGUAAACUAGCCGCUCCUGCCGGACAUCCUUUCAACAUUGCAUCUUUUCAGCAUAACAACACACGUUAUUAUUGCUUUAAAUAUGAACACAUCUCACUUACAACCAGACUUCAAAUGUACAAAAUGGAAGAUGGCGCCACUAUCAAAGCAGCUGAGAUCUCAAGAUAUAUCUGGUUGGUUCUAUUUACACAUCUGGUAUUAAGAAAGGUUUGGUGUGUUAAGGACGGCUUAAGCAAAUUCUUCUAUAUAAAGCUAUUUAGGUUGUUCAUCGCCAUUCCACAACAGAACAAAACACAUCAUAAGGGAUGAACACACACACACACACACACACACACACACACACAGGACAGCACAUAUAGCUGGUUAUUAACAUUCACAUUAUACAACUUGCAUAACAAAAACACUUUUUAAAUGAUUGUCUCCAAAGGUUUGCUAACACAGUCCAAGAGAAAUGGUACUCAUUUUUGGUUUUCUUGUUCAGUACUAGAGAAAAGUACUAGAGAAAAGUGAUAGAGUUUUAAUGUCAAGUAGCUUGCUAUUUACAGUGAACGUGACAUUUUUCACAGCCUGGUCGAAAAUCCCGCAGUUAAUAAUUCAACAAUGUCCGAUGGCACACUCUAACGUCUGAAGCUGAUUAUUAAUCUACAUUAAGCCAAUCCACUUAGUUGUGUACAUAACAAAAAGAAGGCACUCUUUGCAUGCACAAUCAAUGAAGCUUGAGAAAGAAUAGGGGAAUUGCCCGCCAUUAAUCUGUAAAAAUAACCCACUUCAACUCCAACUAAACAGGGUCCAAAUAAUUAAAGACAUUUUUUUAAUGCCCGCCAAAAUGUGCCAUGGAAACAUUCAAAUAUGUUGAGCUUACUUGUCCGACCUUCCUGUGUAUUUUAACUUACUCAGAGCACAGUUUUCUUUAUGAAGAAAAAAAAAAUGCUUUUUAGAAUCAUUUUGACACAUUAACAAUUGUGCAAUUAUCUAAAGCUAGCCUAACAAUAGACAUCAAAGCAAUAACGGCUAUUAUUUGUUGUCUUUCAGAGCAAAAAAUAAGGCACAUCUCUCUGGUCUAAAGGUUAUUAUAUCACAACUGUGUUUCAAAGGUUUUUGAAAGCAGUUCUGUUCAUCUUUUGAGGGGCAGCAAAUAAACACUGUCCAGCUGAAAACGACCCUCUCAAAGAAUAUGGAAAUAAGACUGUAGGAUUGUCUCCUUCAUGUAAAUAAGUAGUAAUUAAAUUAAGUCCUUCAGAGCAUUUAUGAUACUACAGAAUUGAAGAAGAAGAAAAAAGGUUGACAAAUAAAACAAAAAUCUUUCAAUCAAAUGAUGUGCAUGGGGUUUGUGAUCAGUGCAGCUUUGGUUUGACAUUC